AUUGAACACUGGCGGCAGGCCUAACACAUGCAAGUCGAACGGUAACAGAAAGCAGCUUGCUGCUUUGCUGACGAGUGGCGGACGGGUGAGUAAUGUCUGGGAAACUGCCUGAUGGAGGGAGAUAACUACUGGAAACGGUAGCUAAUACCGCAUAACGUCGCAAGACCAAAGAGGGGGACCUUCGGGCCUCUUGCCAUCGGAUGUGCCCAGAUGGGAUUAGCUAGUAGGUGGGGUAACGGCUCACCUAGGCGACGAUCCCUAGCUGGUCUGAGAGGAUGACCAGCCACACUGGAACUGAGACACGGUCCAGACUCCUACGGGAGGCAGCAGUGGGGAAUAUUGCACAAUGGGCGCAAGCCUGAUGCAGCCAUGCCGCGUGUAUGAAGAAGGCCUUCGGGUUGUAAAGUACUUUCAGCGGGGAGGAAGGGAGUAAAGUUAAUACCUUUGCUCAUUGACGUUACCCGCAGAAGAAGCACCGGCUAACUCCGUG
rnacentral:rRNA from 1 species